rnacentral:rRNA from 1 species
UUGGAGGGCAAGUCUGGUGCCAGCAGCCGCGGUAAUUCCAGCUCCAAUAGCGUAUAUUAAAGUUGUUGCAGUUAAAAAGCUCGUAGUUGAAUUUCGGGGUCAGCAGGUUGGUCGUGCCAAUGGUAUGAACUGGCCUUGCUGAUUCCUCCCUCUUGAUGAGCCGUAAUGCCAUUAAUUUGGUGUUGCGGGGAAUCAGGACUGUUACUUUGAAAAAAUUAGAGUGUUUAAAGCAGGCAAGCGCUUGAAUACAUUAGCAUGGAAUAAUGAAAUAGGACGUUUGAUCCUAUUUUGUUGGUUUCUAGGAUUGACGUAAUGAUUAAUAGGGAUAGUUGGGGGCAUUAGUAUUCAAUUGUCAGAGGUGAAAUUCUUGGAUUUAUUGAAGACUGACUACUGCGAAAGCAUUUGCCAAGGAUGUUUUCAUUAAUCAAGAACGAAAGUUAGGGGAUCGAAGACGAUCAGAUACCGUCGUAGUCUUAACCAUAAACUAUGCCGACUAGGGAUCGGAUGAUGUUAAUUUUUUAAUGACUCAUUCGGCACCUUACGGGAAAC